CAAAAAUUUAAAGCUCUUCAAAGUAGCCACCAUGUAAAUUCAGCUUGUACAGUUCUUCAGUCUACCAUUCUAGACCGACGUCUCCAUCAAUACAUGUCUCAGUUGCAUGGAAUUUCUCAUGUUAUAAUAGUAACUUUGCCCCAAGUCUGGAUGUACUUUCUAUGCUUUUUUCACAUCUAAAUGAUGGAAAGAUUAAGGUGUAUUUCUCUUGAUUUUGAAUGUAACUAAUUAAAUUAUGAAGCUGUAGUGGCCGAUCGGGAUGUAGUUUAUCAAUUCUAGGAUGUAUAAAUUACCAGAAUUAGUUGCAAAAUUCUGUAUAUAGGGUGUAUUUUUUUACACACGAAAUUUUGAUCAUUUUUAUUCAGAGGCGGUACUGAAUAACCGUGAGUUGUAAAUUUAGGACAAUAAAUAUAUCCUUUUUCAAAUGGUUACAGUGUUAUUCUACACAUUGGAUGUACUUUUAUUAUCUUACCAUAAGCUUUUACAAUGGGUUUUUGCAAUUGCUUCAUUGAUGUAACAAACCCAUAAAUCACUAGUAUUAGAUGUACCUUUUGCAAAUAAUUACUAUGUACAACUUCUGCUACUGUAUAUGCAUUUACAUAUUUACUCGUACAAUAGGUAGUUUGUAGGUUCUCUUUCUCACAGGAUGUAAAAAUUGCAUAUAAAUACAUGCAAUGUGUUAGACUUAGAGAAUACUAGUUUUGUGGGUUCUAUUUUUCUUAUCACGGGAUGUAAAAAUUGCCCCUAAAAUACAUGCUACUCUCUUAGAGAUUACUAGUUGCAUUUUUCCACUGUAUGUAUUUAUUGCACCUAAAUCACAUGCCUUUUUGUUAUCAAUACUAUCUAGGACAUAUUUUUCUCCUAUAUGCAGAGUGCAACAUAUCCCAAUGGUAUACAUUUGAAUCUGAAUGCAUGUAUUUUCUGGAGACUAGCUAGCUCAUGCCGCACUCCAUUAUCAUUAUUAUUUUUGAAGCUUCCAAUUCCAUCCUCUGUGAAAGGCUAUCGUAUUUUCUUGCCUUUCUCUGUUGUUUCUUCUAGCCGGUGAGAAAUUCCGUGGGCUGUGCUGUGUUGCAGGGUCACCUUCUCGAGGAUUUUCAAGACGAAAUCGACGGAGGCUUCUCUGGCGUACCAUACAACAUGACUGCUGCUCAGCUGCCUCUUACCAACAUGGAUGUAUUAUUAUAUCUCAGGAAGUACUUUUGCAUCGCUCGAAGUUUUGCUUCACAUUAGACAGUGACAGCAGGGAGAGGCCUGGGUGAAGGGUACUUCUUGUCGAUUACUUGGGGCCAAAUUUUCAUCUACGGGUUACAAAGCAAGCAAUGUGUUUUGUUGCAUUAAAAGGACGAUGGUGCAGUUGUAUAUAUAUGAUGUUCUUUUUUGGGUUUUGCCAACCGCAUGUGUGAAUGCAUUCUUUACAAGAUUUAUAUUGUUCUUUCUGCCA